rnacentral:rRNA from 1 species
UACAGAGGGUGCGAGCGUUAAUCGGAAUUACUGGGCGUAAAGCGUGCGUAGACGGUUUUGUAAGUCGGAUGUGAAAUCCCCGGGCUCAACCUGGGAAUUGCAUUCGAGACUGCAAGGCUUGGGUGCGGAAGAGGGAAGCGGAAUUUCCGGUGUAGCGGUGAAAUGCGUAGAGAUCGGGAGGAGCAUCAGUGGCGAAGGCGGCCAUCUGGAUCAACACUGACGCUGAGGCACGAAAGCGUGGGGAGCAAACAGG